rnacentral:piRNA from 1 species
UGGAAGUCUUCGGGUACACUGAACUCGCCU